UACGAAGGGUGCAAGCGUUACUCGGAAUUACUGGGCGUAAAGGGUGCGUAGGUGGUUUGUUAAGUCUGCUGUGAAAUCCCCGGGCUCAACCUGGGAAUGGCAGUGGAUACUGGCAAGCUAGAGUGCGGUAGAGGGUAGUGGAAUUCCCGGUGCAGCAGUGAAAUGCGUAGAGAUCGGGAGGAACACCAGUGGCGAAGGCGGCUACCUGGACCAGCACUGACACUGAAGCACGAAAGCGUGGGGAGCAAACAGG
rnacentral:rRNA from 1 species